AUAUACUUUGCUUGUUAAGAUGUGAUUGUCAAUAAUUAUGCAAAACUGCAAUUUAUUUCAGCAGCAACUUUAUCCCGGGAUGUGCAAACCCGGCAAUAAAAAACUCCUGCUGAGCCAGUGGCAGCAAAGCCCCCGGAAGAGCUGUUAUUCAUCAUGGUUACAGCCGCUUCCUGGUUGAAAGCAAGAAUCUGCUGAAGAGGCAAAGUGCUGGAACUAUAAAGUUUAGUACAACCCUGCACCUUCCUAAGACAGUACCCAUCCAGAGACAACCUGCCUAAAGGUAAGGAAUCAUAGAAGGCAUGUGCUCAUUAUCUUCAUUUUCUUCUUAAGACCUUAUUACCC
rnacentral:lncRNA from 1 species